AUCACACCCCAAUUUAUAAGCGGAAAAUUGACUGCAAAAUUUUCUAGGGCUGGUAUAGAGAGAUCUCUCCAGUUCAAGGUUUUCGAAGACUACUCCCCUUCUCUCUCUCUCUCUCUCUCUCUCUCUCUCUCUCUCUCUCUCUCUUCUCUUCUCUUUCCUCUCACACGCACAGUUCGAAUCGAAGAAAAAUACUCCUAAUGGCGCCGCUUCCUGGCCCUUACUCCGGCACCAGCACUCUUGCUCUGGUGGCUCGUGCUUCCGCCUUCUCUGUUGGACUCGUUUACGGAAGUAUCAAGCUCAAGUAUCUCCAGGCAAAGGCUAAAUCUCAUAAGAAGGCUGAAGCGGUGGCACAUCACUAAAUGGAGCGGCUUUGUUUUUUGGGUUUCCGAUGAAAAAAAUGAUGAAAAAAUAAUGCAUGAUGAUAGAACCUUACAGUGUUUCAUCUCUUCCUAAACUAUUUUUGGACCAUUGUUCUCGUCAAUUUUGAGUAUUGAUUCACUUAUUAUGACCUAAGCAACUGCUAUGGCACUUCAGUUCUUGGUUUUUGGUUGAAUUAAGUGGGGAUCAUGAGUUUUUUUUU